CUCCUGCCGCUCAGGCACAGCUCAGGGAGCAACUGGGGGCAGAGAGGCCCUCAUGGCUCUGGUGUGCAAGCAUGGGCGGGGCUUCUCAUGCUUUGAUGCGCUCACACAUGCGGCGGGGGCGGGGCUUGCCCAAGUGCGGAGCCCAGUUGAGCCUGUCUGGCAGGUGGGGCGGAGUUUCUGCAUUUCCCACCGGAACUCAGGUGAGGCUGGUGUUCCUGGUCCACGCCUGGCGUUCCUGGUCCACGCCUGGCGCCUGGUGCAUCUGGUGGCUGGAGCGCAGGGAAUCGGCAGAAGCUCGGAGCGGGAGGAGGGAGCUAGUGUUUCUAGGAGUGAACUGGAGGACCUCUGUCUGGGUAUCACGAGGCCGGACCUGCUGGGAGCUGGGCAUGGCCACUUGGAGUCCUUACCUCUCUGAGCCCACAUAUGCACAGCAGAACAGGGCAGUGGCAGAGGGCGAAGCAGGACUUGUGGUCAGACUGGGAGCAGCUUCCGUGAAUCACCUGUCUGGCGGGAGCAGACAGCAGAAGCCCAGGCUGGUGGGUCUUUUCCCAGCCUCUUGAACUGUGGUGUUAAUGCUUUGGAGGCCAUAAAUCUUUUUUAAAAUCACAUUUUGGCCCAGAGCUUUUUUCCCUUUUAAUUUUUAAAAUGGCGUAAUUUUAAAGGCAAUUUGAUUCAGAUGUUUUUCAUUGCUUUUCACCAAAACUGCCCAAACACUGUCGUAUUUUCCUCUGCAACAGUGGGUUUUCUUUUCCAAAAAUAUGCCUCAACCUGUCUGUGUGCCUCGGCUAAGCACCAAGGACCCAACUACUCCAGGUCUCCGGGCUGGGACAACUGGAAAGUCUGGAGCCAUAAAACUUGGAACUGAGUCUUGGUCUGAGAGCUUUGCUAAGUCCCUGAGGUCAUACAGCCAGACAGGCUUUAGAAACUCUGUGAGGCGCCUACAGUGGCCCCAUCUUACUGUCGCAGAGCGCCCACCAUGUGCUGGACCAGGGUCCUCCCCGUGUGGUCCCCCACCAGCAGUAGGAGCAUCCCUGGGAGUUAGGCACAGCCCCCCUGCCCCCAGGCCUCCAGGAGCACUGCUUCCGGGAGUGGGGCCCAGCAAGGUGGGGAUUCUGAUGCCCUUAUUAAGUGUUGGGCCCUCUGUGUUCUAGCUGCAUGUGGAGCUGCUAGGGGACAGUUACAGGAAACGGCAUGUGCUCACACUGGCCUGGCCCAGGGCACUUCAUAGGGAGUGGCUGCUCCCAUCGCUGCUCUUCUCCCAGGGGGGCACAGAGAAGCAGUAGGAAACAGCUCAGACCCUAGAGCCACACCACCCUGGUAAGGCCCUGCUCUGCUAACCUUGGGCGCAUCUGAACCUCCAUUUCCAAAUCUGCAAAAUGGACACAGUCAUGAUCCCUACCUCACAGCGUUGUGAGAAUUACUUGUGUCGAAUGCUAUAAAGCGGCAGGCACUAAGCGAGGUCUGUGUGAGGCCCAAGUUAAGGCUCUGCUUUAUGAACAAUUGCUAGUUUUCCUUGUCUAGGCUCUGGAGACUUUGUCUGACUCAAAAAGUCUUCCCUUCACUGGUGACUCUUGCUAGUUGACUUGUUGAGGCUGGACAGGGGGUAGGAAGACCAGAUCUCUGCUCUCUUCCUCCUCGAGAGUGGUGGAGGGAGCUCUAGGCUGGAGAUCGGGCCUGAGUGGAUGUCCUGCUUUACUGCAUUACCCCAGGCUGUCCUGGGUAGGUGACCUGAGUGGGUCGCUGGCCUUGCCCACUCAGCCUUCUCCCAUGUACACUAGAGGGUGGGGUCAGACCAGAGGUUGCCGAAUCUGGUCAAGCCCCAGCAUCCCAUGAGACAGCGGUAUUAAAUGCAGAUCCCCAGGCCACUCCAGACCUCCAGGAAUGGAAUAUCCCGCAGCCGGGGCCUGGGCGUGGGUGUUGACACAGGG
ensembl:lincRNA